GAGGACAUGUGACCGAACUUUUCUUCUCUUUGUGAUUUUAUUUAGUCUCAAUUAGAGUUCGCCGUAGUCUCGUUUUCUCCCAGGCCCGACGCCCAAGGUAGCCGCACAUCGGAAGCAAGAUGACGCAUCACCGGCGUUUUGUCUCUGUUCUUCCUCUCGCCUCUCUCGAAAUCUCUGAAGAACCGUCCCAAACUUCCGCCGGUAGAUCUACGACGCCGGCGAGAUCUUUUUAAAUUUUCUUUGGCGUUUUUUCUGCUCCGGUCUCCAUGUUGAUGUGUUCGACUUUGACGUUUGCUCGCUCGCUUUCUCCGUCCGCAGUGACAUCUCAAGAAGGUCUUCUCAAGCUGCUUUGUAAGCUCAAUCUGUUUUCUCCAAAGUCUUCAGAACCUCUCCACCCACCGGAGCCACCAGAUCCCCCACCGUUUCCAAGUUCCUCCUCACCUCCGAAGAUCAAGGUGUUGACCUUCCUUCCUGUCGAGUGUUGCCUCGCUGGCCUGACGUGUUUCGCCGGCGACAGCCACUUUUCCCCAUCGUCGUUCCCGUAACCAAGACUGCUGAGUUGGACCUUUCUCUGGUCCUUUUGUUACUGGGCUUGGUGAGCCCAUUAAUGUCUGCAGGUUUUUUUCCCAGCCCUCAUAAGCUCAUUUAUGUUGUUGGCUUCACUGUUGUUCCUUCAGGAGUUCUUUCCAGUGUUUUUACCGACUUUUUUCCGAGACUCUACUCCUUUACGGAGAAACCUUCCUCCUUUACGGAGAGACCUUCCUCCUUUACGGAGAGACCUUCCUCCUUUAUGGAGAGAUCACUUCCACCUAUUUCCUCCUCCUUGGAGAGAACACUUCCAUCUUCCUCCUUUCUCAAGGAGAGACCUUUCUCUUCAUUCCUCUUCUACAUGAAGAGUGUUUGUCAAAGCUCAGCCUUUAUGGCAUUUAGAGCCUAGUCUGUUCGCUCGCCUCCUUUGGCAUCUAAACAUGUUACAGCACCCUCGGAUCAAGUCCAAGUGUUGUCGAUCGACUUCAUGCUGAUCACCUUCGAAGCCAUUUUGAAGAAUCUCCUGGUUAUUAUCUAUGGAUUUAACCUUCUAUCUUAUUGUUUUCAAGCUUUGUAUUUCAUUUGUGUUUCCUUUUCGAACAUUCAACAAGUGAUCUCUUUGGCAAGGAGUUUACGGAUUCGUUUGGGUGUUGUAUUCGCAAGCUAGUUUUAAUAUAAUUACCGUUUGACCAAAAAAAAAAAAAAUCUAGUCUCAAUUUGGAUGAUCAAAACCAAUGUAAAACU
rnacentral:lncRNA from 1 species